GACGAACGCUGGCGGCGUGCUUAACACAUGCAAGUGGUGCGACGAACCAGGGCUUGCCCUGGGGCAAAGCCGCGAACGGGUGAGUAACACGUGAGUAACCUGCCCCGAUGACCGGGACAACCCGAGGAAACUCGGGCUAAUACCGGAUGUGGUGCACAGGUUUAAGCCUGUGCACUAAAGGAAGCUUCGGCCUCCGCAUUGGGAGGGGCUCGCGGCCCAUUAGCUUGUUGGUGGGGUAACGGCCUACCAAGGCAACGAUGGGUAGCUGGUCUGAGAGGACGAUCAGCCACACUGGGACUGAGACACGGCCCAGACUCCUACGGGAGGCAGCAGUGGGGAAUCUUGCGCAAUGCGCGAAAGCGUGACGCAGCAACGCCGCGUGGGGGAAGACGGCCUUCGGGUUGUAAACCUCUUUCAGCACCGACGAAGCGUGAGUGACGGUAGGCGUAGAAGAAGCACCGGCCAACUACGUGCCAGCAGCCGCGGUAACAC
rnacentral:rRNA from 1 species